rnacentral:rRNA from 1 species
AGAGUUUGAUCCUGGCUCAGAAUCAACGCUGGCGGCGUGCCUAACACAUGCAAGUCGCACGAGAAAGGGACUUCGGUCCUGAGUACAGUGGCGCACGGGUGAGUAACACGUGAAUCAUCUACCUUCGAGUGGGGAAUAACUGAGAGAAAUCUUAGCUAAUACCGCAUAAUACCUACGGGUCAAAGCAGCAAUGCGCUUGAAGAGGAGUUCGCGGCAGAUUAGUUAGUUGGCGGGGUAAUGGCCCACCAAGACGAUGAUCUGUAUCCGGCCUGAGAGGGCGCACGGACACACUGGAACUGAAACACGGUCCAGACUCCUACGGGAGGCAGCAGUGGGGAAUCUUCCGCAAUGGACGAAAGUCUGACGGAGCAACGCCGCGUGUAUGAUGAAGGUCUUCGGAUUGUAAAGUACUGUCUUUGGGGGAGAAUGAUGCAUUUGAAAAUAUUGAGUGCAUAUGACGGUACCCAAGGAGGAAGCCCCGGCUAACUACGUGCCAGCAGCCGCGGUAAUACGUAGGGGGCAAGCGUUGUCCGGAAUUAUUGGGCGUAAAGGGCGCGUAGGCGGAUAGUUAAGUCCGGUGUGAAAGAUCAGGGCUCAACCCUGAGAGUGCAUCGGAAACUGGUUAUCUUGAGGACAGGAGAGGAAAGUGGAAUUCCUAGUGUAGCGGUGAAAUGCGUAGAUAUUAGGAGGAACACCAGUGGCGAAGGCGACUUUCUGGACUGUAACUGACGCUGAGGCGCGAAAGCGUGGGGAGCAAACAGGAUUAGAUACCCUGGUAGUCCACGCUGUAAACGAUGAGUGCUAGGUGUAGAGGGUAUCGACCCCUUCUGUGCCGCAGUUAACACAAUAAGCACUCCGCCUGGGGAGUACGGCCGCAAGGUUGAAACUCAAAGGAAUUGACGGGGGCCCGCACAAGCGGUGGAGCAUGUGGUUUAAUUCGACGCAACGCGAAGAACCUUACCUGGGCUCGAAAUGUACAGGACAGCGGUAGAAAUACCGUCUCCCAGCAAUGGGUCUGUAUAUAGGUGCUGCAUGGCUGUCGUCAGCUCGUGUCGUGAGAUGUUGGGUUAAGUCCCGCAACGAGCGCAACCCUUAUCUCUAGUUGCUACCAUUUAGUUGAGCACUCUAGCGAAACCGCCUCGGAUAACGGGGAGGAAGGUGGGGAUGACGUCAAGUCCUCAUGGCCUUUAUGUCCAGGGCUACACACGUGCUACAAUGGCCGGUACAAACCGCUGCAACCCCGCGAGGGUGAGCUAAUCGGAAAAAGCCGGCCUCAGUUCGGAUUGGAGUCUGCAACUCGACUCCAUGAAGCUGGAAUCGCUAGUAAUCGUGGAUCAGCAUGCCACGGUGAAUACGUUCCCGGGCCUUGUACACACCGCCCGUCACAUCACGAAAGUGGGUUGCACUAGAAGUCGGUGCGCUAACCGCAAGGGAGCAGCCGCCCAAGGUGUAAUUCAUGAUUGGGGUGAAGUCGUAACAAGGUAGCCGUAGGAGAACCUGCGGCUG